UGCAGAAUCCCGUGAACCAUCGAGUCUUUGAACGCAAGUUGCGCCCGAUGCCAUUAGGUUGAGGGCACGUCUGCCUGGGCGUCACAUAUCGAAGCCUCUUGCCAAUUUCCUAUUAAUAGGUAUGGUGCAGGAUGAUGUUGGCCUCCCGUGAGCUCCAUCGUCUCAUGGUUGGUUGAAAAUCGAGGCCUUGGUAGGGUGUGCCAUGAUAGAUGGUGGAUGUGUUACGCACGAGACCAAAUAAUCAUGUGCUGCUCUAUUGAAUUUAGCCUCUUUUACCCACAUGCGUUUCUAAACGCUCGUGAUGAGACCUCAGGUCAGGCGGGGCUACCCGCUGAAUUUAAGCAUAUCAAUAAGCGGAGGAAAAGAAACUAACAAGGAUUCCCUUAGUAACGGCGAGCGAACCGGGAGAAGCCCACCAUGAGAAUCGGUCGCCUUCGGCGUUCGA
rnacentral:sRNA from 1 species